ACGGAGCCAAAUUAUACCACUUUUCAUACUUCCAAAAUGAGCUAACUAUAAAGCUGAUUAUACAUCAUACUUACCAUUUCUCAUUUCCGAAUCAUAUAACCAACAUCACAAACAUAUUUAACAUGAAAUAUACUUCCAAAAUAAGCUUAAGGCAUGACCGAAUACACACAAGCAUUAACAUUAUGAUCAAGCCAUUUUUCGCAUGGCUAUAUAUAUAUACAAAUUCAAAACCAAACAUAUCAAAACUAGCCUAUACAUGCCAUAUAUCAAAAGUACAAGCUUCAAAGUACCGAAAUAGAGAUUGAUAGUGUGAUGAUGAUCCUUAACGAUCCUCGAGCUCGAGCUAGCUUUAAAUAUCUAUAAAAUAACGAAUAAACACACAAAGUAAGCUUGGACAACUUACUAAGCCAUAAGUAAAUAAAUCAACACAAGAACAUUCAUAAUUCAUUUCAAAAUAGCCAAAUCUAAUUAAUUUCGUACACAUAUAUAAUCACAUUUCUCAUGUAGUUCAUAUGAUCACAUUAAGUAUCCACACUUAGACAAAUAAACUCUAUACGUACCUGAAUCAUUUAGCUCAAAUUCAUAUUCGAACUCGUUUUGACAUUGCCCGUUGAACCAUUUGGAAUCGUUAAGGAAUACUCGGAAACACAUAUAUCACAUACAAUGCCAUAUCCCAGAUAUGGUCUUACAAGUUAUCACAUAUCAAUUACUCUGUCCCAGAUAGGGUCUUACACGUAAUCUCAUAUCGAUGGCAAUGUCCCAGACAUGGUCAUACACGAAAUCACACCACGGAAGUCCUAAUGUCAUAACAUAUGUAUCCUAUACUAUUCUUAUGGUUCGUACGGGGCUUUCGGACGUUGUAAUUCAAUCAAUUCAAACUCGAAACAAAUCUUCCCAUGCUUAAUUCAAUUUGGCACAUAUAUAUAUUUAAUUACAAUUCAAUUCGGCACAUAUAAUAUACAUACAUUAGAAUUUAAUAACAUUUAUUUACUUAUGAACUUACCUUGUACGAAAACGAACGGACUGGAACGGCUAUUCAACAACUUUGGACUUCCCCCGAUCGAAAUCCGAUUUCUUCCUUAUUUAAUUAUAUAUUCAUUCAAUUUCAUCCAAAAACACAUAAAUGGACAUUUUGCAUUUUAGCCCCUAUGAUGUGAGCACAUCCAUGCCAAUCAAGGAAACUGAUCCGGAGGUCUUACCAUUGGGACCUAUUACCCGUUCUAAGGCAAAGAAAUUCAGGGAAGUUCUUUUCCUUGUGCUACAAUUCCAGAUUCAUUCGAUCAUGUUUAUGCCUUAGAACCUCGGCUUUAUAAUGUGUUGCAUGCUGAUAUGUGACAUAUUUAGGUUAUACUAUUCAUUCUGUGUGUUUAAUUUUGUAUAUAUUAUGCUACAUAUGCUUUGGGAUUGGCUUGAUAGUGUUUGUAUUGCUUCUAAGUUGUUUGGGUGUUAAUAAAUAAGUGUGCACUUGUUUACAGCUUAUUAGACUAUGUUACGUUAAGUCUACAUAAACUUUGAUAAGUGUUAAUGCCUUUUGGAUUAGGUACACGAAGGAACACUAGCUCAAGAGUGUAUAUGCAGCUCAUCUUUAGCUCAAGUUAGCUCAGAGUACUCUACACCAGCUCAUGUCAGCUCACUCCACUUGUAGCUAGCUCGUUCUUGCUCAGUUCAGUUUCUGUCAGCUCAAUUUCAGCUCCACUAGCUCAACUUCAUCUGGCAAGUCCAGAAGUAGCUGAAUAAUGAUUUACAAGUCAGGGAGUGUACCAGUGCACAUGUGGCAGCCCAAGUGGCAUCCAGUCAUUCAUAAAUCCGCGUGGCAGCUUGGAUGAGUGAGUACAUUAUUGGCCGAAUUGGAGCAGCCCUUCCUUUUUCUUACUUGGCGUCAACUUUAAGGAUAAGAUCAAGUAGUUUGUGUUUGAAUUUCAAAUUUCAAAUACAAGGCUUCAAGGAUAAGAUCAAGUAGUUUGUGUUUGAAUUUCAAAUUUCAAAUACAAGGCUGCCAUACAAUGCCGCCCAUUUUAGGAGUUAUUAAGAGUUUAAAAUUUGAAUUUUAAAUCCUCAUUCAGCCACACAAGGAAAUUCGGUCAUACACCUCUUGUUAUCCAUAUAUAUGUGUAAAAACAAUGAAAGAAGGUAGACACUUUGAAUGAAAUAUAAUCUUUGUGAGAUUUUCUCUCAAACUUUGGUUUUUCACCGAACUUUCUUGGCAUAUCAGAAUGUGUUUGUGUGUCAAUUUUACUUGAUACUUCGGGUUCCUAGAUUGCUAUCUAGAGGGUCCAAGUCCGUUGACGAAGAACAGAUUCGAUUCGAGUUCGUUCAGCAUAUUGUACGAGUUCUUUUGAGUUCUUGAUAUUUUCUAAAUUUCCAGCAAUAUUCUACAUCAAUUUUGCCAUCUUUGAAUGUUCAAGGCUACCAUGAAUGAAGCUUCAAGAAUUCAUCUUCAACCUUGAUUCAAAUCUGCCAGAAAUUUCAGCCCUUUCUUUUUUCUUCAUUUUUGUUUUUCCUUUGUUUCUUUUCUUGUUCCUAAGACCGUUUUAAGCCUAGAACGUCCAUUUGUCUUGUUUCUAAUUGCAGGAAAGUGUUUGCUUCAAUCCUAGAUCCGCAACUUAUAAGGAACGUUAUUUUCACCAAGCAACACCCUUAUCAUAUGGUAUCAGAGCAAAGGUUGGAUUUUAGCACGUUCUGCACUACAAUACUAAGAAAACAAACAAAAGUAAAAAAAAACAAGUUAAAAAAAUAAAACACAACAAUUAGUUUCAAAAAUUUAAAAAAAAGAAAAAAAGGAAAAAAGAAAAGAAACUUGUACUGGUGCAUGAAAAUGAAGAAGGAUGAUCAAUUAUGCUAUGAAAUACUUAGAAAUCAACCAAAACAACUUGUUCUUGUUUUUUCGGUGAUAGGAUCGUUGUAAGCAUUUCUUUGCAGUAAGUUGUGAAUUUUCUGUUGCAUUUUUUUUCUUCUUUCAACCCUAUUUUCGUUUUAACCCUUUGUUUUCUUUAUCGUUGUUGUUUAUCUUGUAAGCUUGACAUAGUUAACAAGUCUGAAUGAUCGAGUUAGUUCCUUAAAGAACUGAAUUGUGAGAGAUUGAGUGGAAAAGGCAAACCGAGCGUAUGAGAAUAGAAGGGGAGACAAAAAGAGCCAUUCAAGCAUUCUCCCGAGUGAAACACGAGUGUUGAGUGCAAUUAAUGAGCGAUCAUUCCUUGGAGUGAUCUGUGAGGAAUUUUGUUGAGUGUGUUGUUGUGAGGUCCUUUUCGUUAUUUUACUAACAUAUAUUAUUACUUUCUGUUUGUUUCUAGUGUUUAUAAUGGUAGGUUCAAAUGAAAGCAAUCCGAAUGACCAGCCACCAAACUUGCAAAUGCAAGCCAUUACACAUGAACUUCAGUGUCUUUUAAGACGAGAAUUGGAGCCUUUACAGUCUCGAAUGGAUAGAUUAGAUGGCGGUGGUUCCUAAUCUAUCCAUGAAGAGGACCGUGACGAAAAUGAAGUUAAUCAACCUCUAAGACAAAAUCUGAGGGGUCAUGCGCAACUUGAUGAUAAUUUAUCUAACAUUAAAGUUGCUGUUCCAUCUUUUUAGGGACGAACAGAUCCUGAUGCUUAUCUCGCUUGGGAAAGCAAAGUCGAGCAUGUUUUCGAGUGUUACAAUUACUCGGAACAGAAGAAGGCUCGUUUGGCUGCAAUGGAAUUCACUAAUUACGCUUUGAUCUGGUGGGAUCAAUUGUUAAUCAGUCAGAGACGCACCGGUGAAGGUCCAGUGAGAACGUCGGAUAAAAUGAAGCAAAUCAUGCGAAAGAGAUUUGUUCCUUCUCAUUAUCACCGUGACUUAUUCCAGAAGUUGCAGACGUUGAAACAGGGGAGUAGGAGUGUUGAAGACUAAUAUAAGGAAAUGGAAAUGUCCAUGAUGCGAGCCAACAUUGUUGAGGAUCGAGAGGCUACUAUGGCACGUUUUCUUGCAGGGUUGAAUUCUGAGAUUGCUAACAUUAUUGAAUUGCAGCAUUAUGUCGAAUUGGAUGACAUGGUGCAUAUGGCUAUCAAAAUUGAGCGACAACAAUGCAGAAAAGCUUCUACUCAAGGUAAUACUCCAUUUAAAUCUUUUUCAAAUCCAUUGUAUACUCCUAACAAUUCCAGGAAACAAGCACCACAACCGCCACUACGGAUUCGAGAUCCAAGCGAAUCCAGCAAACCAAAGCCUCCCGUUGCUGAUAAUGGGCGUGGAAAACUACCAGUGGUAGCAUAAGAAUGAUCGAGAGAAAUUCUGUGCUUUAAGUGCCUUGUUCGAGGACAUAUUGCUAGCCAAUGUCCUAAUCGAAAGACCAUGAUAAUGUUAGAGAGUGGUGAGGUUGAGUCUGAGUCUGAGGAAGACGAGCAUGACACCCCUCCAGUGGACGUUGAAGAAGAUGAUGACAAUGUGCAGACGUUUGCCACCGGUGAAGCACUUGUUGUCAAAAGGAGUCUGAAUACUCAACCGAUUCAGGAAGAACAGCAAUGAGAAAACAUCUUUCACACGAGAUGCCUUGUCAAUGAUAAGGUAUGUGUUGUAAUUAUCGAUGGUGGUAGUUGCACUAAUGUUGCUAGUUCUGUGAUGGUUGAAAAGUUAGGUUUGAAGACGACAAAACAUCCCAAUCCUUACAAAUUACAGUGGCUGAAUGAUGGUGGAGAAAUUAAAGUGACUAAGUAAGUUUUAGUGCCGUUUUCCAUUGGAAAAUACAAGGAUGAAGUACUCUGUGAUGUCAUUUCGAUGGUUGCAGGUCAUUUGCUAUUGGGUCGUCCAUGGUAAUUUGACAAGAAGAUGACGCAUGAUGGCUUUACGAACAUAUAUUAUUUUAGGCAUGCAAGAAAGCAAAUCACCUUAGCACCUUUGACCUCGGGUCAAGUGCAAGAAGACCAAGUAAGGUUGCAAAAGAAUAUCGAGGAAGUUCGUGGGAAAAAGAAGAUGAAUGUGUACGCAAGCAGUAAGGAAAUCAAGAAAUGUCUUUCCUCUCAGCAAUCUAUGCUUAUUUUGUUGUUUAAAGAUCAUUGUUUAUUGUUUGAGAUUCCUAGUGAUUUGCCUACUUCUAUUUCAUCUCUUUUGCAGGAAUUUGAAGAUGUGUUUCUGGAUGAAACACCUAAAGGCUUACCCUCUCUUCGUGGCAUUGAGCACCAGAUUGACUUUAUUCCAGGUGCCACGAUUCUAAAUAGACCAGCAUAUAGAAGUAACCCCGAAGAGACGAAUGAACUUCAACGACAAAUUUCUGAGUUGUUGGACAAGGGUUACAUUCGAGAGAGUCUGAGUCCAUGUGUUGUGUCAGUGUUGUUGGUACUGAAAAAAGAUGGAACAUAGAGGAUGUGUGUUGAUUGUUGAGCCGUGAAUCAGAUUACAAUCAAGUAUCGACACCCCAUCCCUCGACUUGAUGACAUGCUGGAUGAGUUAUGCGGAGCGACUAUCUUCUCCAAAAUUGAUCUAAAGAGUGGAUAUCAUUAGAUUCGCAUGAGAGAAGGCGACGAGUUGAAGACAGCCUUCAAGACAAAGCUAGGUUUGUACAAAUGGUUGGUGAUGCCUUUUGGUUUAACUAAUGCACCUAGUACUUUUAUGCGUUUGAUGAAUCAUGUUCUGCGAUCUUUUAUUGGAAAGUUUGUGUUGUAUACUUUGAUGACAUUUUAAUUUAUAGCAAGACUUUGCAGGAUCAUGUAGAACAUUUGAGAGCUGUUCUGCAUACUUUGCGAGAAGAAAAGUUGUUUGGAAAUAUAGAGAAAUGUGUGUUUUGUACUGACAAACUUAUAUUUCUUGGUUAUAUUGUUAGUUCACAGGGUGUUGAAGUUGACCCUGAGAAGGUUAAGGUGAUCCAAGAAUGGCCACGACCGACAUCGAUUAGUCAGGUUAGAUCAUUUCAUGGUUUAGCUAGUUUCUACCGUCGGUUUGUUCGCCAUUUUAGUUAUAUUACCGCCCCCUUAACUGGGAUUAUAAAGAAAAAUUUAGUCUUCUCAUGGGGUAAAGAACAAGAGGAUGCCUUUUUGAAAAUUAAGGACUGUUUAACAAAAGUGCCUGUUUUAGCAUACCUGAUUUUGAUAAAUUGUUUUGAAAUUGAAUGUGAUGCUUCUGGGGUUGGUAUAGGUGCUGUUUUGUCACAGGAAAAGAGGCCUGUUGCAUAUUUCAGUGAGAAACUUAGUGGAGCAAUGUUAAAUUAUCCUGUCUAUGACAAAGAAAUGUAUGCAUUAAUCCGGGCUUUGGAGACUUGGUGGCAUUAUUUGUUGCCUAAGGAGUUUACGAUCCACACUGACCAUGAGGCUUUACGAUAUAUCACAGGUCAACAUAAAUUGAACAAACGACAUGCUAAAUGGGUUGAAUUCUUAGAAUCUUUUCCUUAUGUCAUUCGAUACAAAAAGGGAAAAAAUAAUGUCAUUGCUGAUGCAUUAUCACGCAGAUAUGCACUUUUGAGUUAUCUUGAUUCACAAUUGAUUGGAUUUGCAUAUAUUCAUGAGUUAUUCUCUGAUGAUCCUAAUUUUAGAGAUAAGUAUAAUGCUUGUGAGAAAGGGACAAAUGGAAAGUUCUAUAGGCAUGAUGGUUAUCUUUUCAAAGAAAGAAGGUUAUGCAUUCCAUAGGGUUCAAUGCGUGAUAUACUGAUCCGUGAAGCACAUGAAGGUGGAUUGAUGGGUCAUUUUGGAGUCACCAAAACAUUACAUACAUUGAAGGAGCAUCUAUUCUGGCCUAAGAUGCGCAGGGACGUUGAACGGUACUGUGAACAUUGUGUGACAUGUAAGAAAGCAAAAUCGAAGGUUUCACCACAUGGUAUGUAUUUACCUUUACCUAUUCCUGAUUCCCCUUGGACUGAUAUUUCGAUGGACUUCGUAUUGGGAUUGCCUCGAACUGGGACAGGUAGAGAUAGUAUAUUUGUUGUGGUUGAUAGGUUAUCGAAGAUGGCACAUUUUAUUGCCUGCCAUAAGACUGACGAUGCCGUUAAUGUGGCUAAUUUUUUCUUUAGAGAUAUUGUGCGUUUGCAUGGUAUACCUAGGUCAAUUGUUUCUGACAGGGAUGUAAAGUUUUUGAGUCAUUUCUAGAGGACUCUUUGGAGCAAACUAGGUACAAAACUUAUGUUUUCUACUACUUGUCAUCCCCAGACUGAUAGACAAACUAAGGUUGUUAACAGAGUUUUAUCUACUUUACUUCGUUCCAUCAUUAAAAAGAACAUAAAAACUUGGGAAGAUUGUUUGCCACAUGUUGAAUUUGCUUAUAACCAUGCUGUACAUUCUGCUACUAGGAUGUCACCUUUUGAGGUUGUUUAUUGUUUUAAUCCUGCUACUCCUCUAGAUAUGUUGCCUUUGCCAUAGAAAUAGGUGAUGAAUAGAGACGGUAAAGCGAAAGCAGAAUAUGUGAAAAAGUUGCAUCAAUAGGUUAAUGAGAACCUAGAAAGAAUGACUCGGCAAUACGAAAAGCAAGCAAACAAGGGUAGAAAGCGAAUCACCUUCGAUGUUGGAGAUUGGAUUUGGGUUCAUUUCCGAAAGGAAUGAUUUCCAGCCCAAAGGCUAUCCAAGCUAUUACCGCGGGGAGAUUGUCCUUUUCAGGUGUUGGAGGAAGUGAAUGACAAUGCCUACAAGUUAGACUUGCCGGGAGAAUAUAAUGUGAGUGCCACAUUUAAUGUUUCUGAUUUAACCCCUUAUGAAGAUUCUACAGAUUUGAGGACAAAUUCUUUUCAAGAAGGGGGGAUGAUGUGAGCACAUCCAUGUCAAUCAAGGAAACUGAUCCGGAGGUCUUACCAGUGGGACCUAUUACCACUUCUAAGGCAAAGAAAUUCAGGGAAGUUCUUUUCCUUACUUAUGCUACAAUUCCAGAUUCAUUCAAUCAUGUUUAUGCCUUAGAACCUAAGCUUUAUAAUGUGUCGCAUGCUGAUAUGUGACAUAUUUAGGUUAUACUAUUCAUUCUGUGUGUUUAAUUUUGUAUAUAUUAUGCUACGUAUGCUUUGGGAUUGGUUUGAUAGUGUUUGUAUUGCUUCUAAGUUGUUUGGGUGUUAAUAAAUAAGUGUGCACUUGUUUACAACUUAUUAGACUAUGUUACAUUAAGUCUACAUAAACUUUGAUAAGUGUUUAUGCCUUUUGGAUUAGGUACACGAAGAGACACUAGCUCAAGAGUGUAUAUGCAACUUAUCUUCAGCUCAAGUUAGCUCAGACUACUCUACACCAGCUCAUGUCAGCUUACUCCACUUGUAGCUAGCUCGUUUUAGCUCAGUUCAGUUUCCGUCAGCUCAAUUUCAGCUCCACUAGCUCAACUUCAGCUGGCAAGUCCAAAAGUAGCUGAAUAAUAAUUUACAAGUCAGGGAGUGUACCAGUGCACAUGUGGCAGCCCAAGUGGCAUCUGGUCAUUCACACAUCCGUGUGGCAGCUUGGAUGAGUGAGUACAUUAUUGGCUGAAUUGGAGCAGCCCUUCCUUUUUCUUACUUGGUGUCAACUUCAAGUUACAAGGCUUCAAGGAUAAGAUCAAGUAGUUUGUGUUUGAAUUUCAAAUUUAAAAUACAAGGUGGUCAUACAAUGCCGCCCAUUUUAGGAGUUAUUAAGAGUUUAAAAUUUGAAUUUUAAAUCCUCAUUCAGCCACACAAGGAAAUUCGGCCAGACACCUCUUGUUAUCCAUAUAUAUAUGUGUAAAAACAAUGUAAGAAGGUAGACACUUUGAAUGAAAUAUAAUCUUUAUGAGAUUUUCUCUCAAACUUUGGUUUUUCACCGAACUUUCUUGGCAUAUCAAACUGUGUUUGUGUGUCAAUUUUACUUGAUACUUCGAGUUCCUAGAUUGCUAUCUAGAGGGUCCAAGUCCAUUAACGAAGAACAGAUUCGAUUCUGGUUCGUUCAGCAUAUUGUACGACUUCUUUCGAGUUCCUUAUUUUUUCUAAAUUUCUAGCAAUAUUCUAAAUCAAUUCUGCCAUCUUUGAAUACUCAAGGCUGCCAUGAAUGAAGCUUCAAGAAUUCAUCUUCAACCUUGAUUCAAAUUUGCCAGAAAUUUCAGCCCUUUCUUUUUUCUUCAUUUUUGUUUUUCCUUUGUUUCUUUUCUAGUUCCUAAGACUAUUCUAAGUCUAGAACGUCCAUUUGUCUUGUUUCUAAUUGCAGGGAAGUGUUUGCUUCAAUCCUAGAUCCGCAACUUACAAGGAAUGUUGUUUUCACCGAGCAACGCCCUUAUCACCCUAACUUUUCACAUUUUCACAAUUUAGUCCAUAUUUCAAAACAACACAAAAUACUCAAAAUUUCAUUUAACCUAUGUUUGGCUGAAUAUUCCUUAGGUCCCUAGCAGCCACUAAUUUCAUUUAUUUCACAUUUUGACCCCUAAAUUCUCAAAUUUUACAAUUUAAUCCUAAAUGAGCAUUUUUAUCAAAAAUCACUUAAUUAAACAUAAUAAUCUAUCAACAAAUAUUUAUUUUUCAUCAUCAAACAACAAAAACAUCAAGCUAUCAUCAAUGGCAAAUCAUGAAUACAUCAACAAAUUCAAAAAUUCAAGCAUGGGCUAACUAGUAUUCGAAGCAACGAUCUCAAAAACGUAAAAAUCAUCAAAAAUAGAACAAAAUCCAUACCUCAAUUUAAACUUCAAAGUGCCAAACCUAAAAGCUUCAAAAUGGUUUCUUUUCUUUGUUAUUUUCGGCAAUGGUGGUGAAAAGAUGAACAAAAUAAUGUUUUUGUUUAAUUUAAUAACAUUAUUUACAAAGUUACUUUAAUGUCAUUAAUGAAAACAUUAUAAAAUCAUAUAAUGGAUGACCAUUUAUGUCAUUAUCUACUAACUAUGGUCUAAUCACAUCAUAAGGACAUCAUAUUUAAUUAAUCAUAGCAAAUAAAUACUUUAACAAAUAGAAUGUCACUUUUACAUUUUACUAAUUAAGUCUUUUUUAUCAAAUUAAGCAUACAAAUGGUAAAAUUAAAUUACGAAAUUUUCACACAUAUCAAUUAACAUGUUGUAAACACCAAAAAUAAUAUUAAAAUAAUUCUACAACUUCAUAUUUGUGGUUUCAAAACCACUAUUCUGAUUUAGCUAAAAUCGGGCUAUUACAACUCUCCCCCCUUAGGGAUUUUCGUCCCUAAAAAUCUUACUAGUGAAUAGGUUCAAAUAUUGCUCUUUCAUAGAAUCCUUGAUGUCCCACGUUGCUUCUUUGACCCUGUGUCGAUGCCAUAAGACUUUCACUAAAUUUUUUUUCUUAUUUCUCAGUUCUUUGACCUCGUGAGCUAAUAUUCUGAUCGGUUCUUCAUUGUACGUCAUAUCAGUUUGAAUCUCAAUCUCAGACGGGGAAAUCACAUGCGAGGGAUCGGAUCGAUAUCGUCGAAGUAUCGAUACAUGAAAAACAUUGUGAAUUUUCUCUAACUUAUUCGGUAGAGCUAACCGAUAUGCCACUGGACCUAUUCUCUGGGUGAUCUCAUAUGGCCCGAUGAAUCUUGGACUCAACUUGCCUUUACGACCAAAUUGAAGUAUUUUCUUCCACGGAGAAACUUUUAAAAACACUUUAUCCCAGAUCUGAAACUCAAUAUCUUUCCAUUUCAAGUCUGCGUACGAUUUCUGACGAUCUGACGCUGCUUUUAGACUUUCACGAAUCACUUUCACUUUCUGUUUAGUCUCUUUAAUCUGGUCAAGCCUUGAAUCUUAUUCUCGCUAAGCUCUGUCCAGCACAAGGGUGUUCAGCAUUUGUAACAGUAUAAAGCUUCAUUUUUAUACUCGAUUGAAAGCUGUUAUUAUACGUAAAUUCAAUCAAUGGUAGGUAUCGUUCCUACGUUCCUUCAAACUCAAGAAUGAAACAUCUCAACAUAUCCUCGAGUAUCUGAAUAAUUCGAUCGGAUUGACAAUUUGUUUACGGAUGAAAAGUAGUACUAAAGUAAUUUUGUACUGAGUGCAUCUUGAAAUUUCUUCCAAAAACGAGAUGUGAAUCUCGGAUCUCCAUCUGAAACAAUAGAAAUAGAUACUCCGUGUAAUCUCACAACCUGAGAAAUGUACAACUCAGCAAGUUUAUCAAGUGAAUAAUCCAUGCAAACCGAAAUGAAAUGAGCUGACUUCGUAAGUCUAUCAACCACUACCCAAAUAGCAUCUUUUCUACUCAGUGAUAGAGGUAUACCCGAAACAAAGUCCAUCAUGAUUCUGUCCCAUUUCCACUCAGGAAUCAUAAUCAGCUGAAGUAACCAAGACGGUACUUGAUGCUCAGCUUUAACUUUUGACAGAUUUAACAUUUCAAAACAAAUUCAGAGAUAUCUCACUUCAUACCAGACCACCAGCAAAACUGUUUCAAAUCAUUAUAUAUCGUGCUUCCCAGAUGAAUAGAAAAAUGACUACUGUGUGCUUCUUUCAAAAUCAUCCGAAUCAACUUCAAGUUUCUAAGAAUACAUAUUCGGCCUCUAAAUCUUAAACAAUUAUCAAUAUCAACUCAAAAUUCUAAAUCAGAGUUCGAAUCACAUUGAGCCCGUUUUACUAACAAUUCAUUAUCAACUUUCUGAGCUUCGCAAAUCUACUGUAAAAAUAACGGUCUCGCUUUCAACUCAACUACAAUCGAGCUGUCAUCAGAUAGAGUCAUCUGAGUAUUCAUCACACGUAGUGCAAACUAAGAUUUUCGACUUAAAGCAUCAGCCACAACAUUAGCCUUUCUCGGAUGGUAGUCAAUCACUAGCUCGUAAUCUUUCAACAAUUCCAACCAUCUCUGCUAUUGCAAAUUCAAAUAUUUCUGAGUCAAUGAAAUAUUUUAAGCUUUUGUGAUUAGAAUAAAUAUGAUAUUUCUCACUGAAUAGAUAGUGGCGCCAAAUUUUCAACGCGAACAUGAUAGCUGCUAAUUCUAAAUCGUGCGUCGGGUAAUUCUUUUCAUGCGGCUUUAGUUGUUUCGAGGCAUAAGCUAUGACUUUGCCUUCUUGCAUCAAAACACAUCCCAAUCCAUUCAAUGAUGCAUCACUAUAGAUUACGAAUUCUUUACCUGAUUCUGGCUGAACUAACACUAGAGCUUCAGUCAAUAAGGCUUUCAGCUAAUUAAAACUUUUCUAGCACUUAUUUGACCACUCAAACUUAACAUCUUUCUAAAGCAGUCUCGUCAUUGGGCUUGAAAUCAUAGAGAAACCUUUUACGAAUCGUCUGUAAACUUCGGAUACAUUUCUCAGAGGCUUCCAAUUUAAUAUUGCUAAAAUCUUGCUCGGAUCCACUUGAAUACCCAAAGCUGACACAAUUUGCCCCAGAAAACCAACUUCGUGCAACCAAAAUUCACAUUUACUGAACUUCACAAAUAACUGCUUAUCACGCAAAGUCUAUAGUACUAUUCUCAGAUGUUCAGCAUGCUCGGAUUCAUCACAAGAAUAAAUCAAGAUGUCAUCAAUAAAUACAACAACAUAUCUAUCCAAGUACGGUCUAAAGAUCCGAUUCAUUAGGUCCAUAAAAACAACAGGUGCAUUCGUUAAUUCGAAAGGCAUAAGUAAAAACUCAUAAUGUCCGUACCUCAUUCGAAAUGCAGUUUUCGGCAUAUCGGAGCCUUUAACUCACAAUAGAUAGUAACCUAAUAUCAAAUCUAUCUUUGAAAACACUGUAGCCUCUUUCAACUAAUCAAACAAAUCGUUUAUUCAUGGUAAAAGGUAUUUAUUCUUGAUAGUCACUUUAUUGAGCUAUCGAUAGUCGAUGCACAUUCUCAUAGUUCCAUCUUUCUUUUUCACAAACAAAAUUGGGGCACCCCAAGAAGAAAAAUUGGUCAUGCGAAAUCUCUAUCUGUCAACUCUUGCAACUGAGCUUUCAACUCGUUUAAUUCGAUCGGUGUCAUUCUGUACGGAGCUAUUGAUAUUGGAGUUUUCCUGGCACUAACUCAAUACCAAACUCUAUCUAUCGGAUCAGCGGCAAACCUAGUAACUCUUCAGGAAACACAACCGGAGAUUCGCACACAACUGGUACUGAUUCAAUCUUCUUUUCAAUCACUUUAGAGUCGAGCACAUAGGCAAAGUAAGCUUUAUGACCAUUUCUUAUAUAUUUUCGAGCUAACAUUGAAGAAAUUACUGCCGGUAAACCAUUCAAAUCAUCUGAUUCAAUCUGGAUAAUCUCAUUAUUAUGGCAUCUUAAAAAAAUCAUCUUCCGUUUGCAAUCCGUUCUGGAAGUGUCUGAGAAGUCUUAGGUUCAAGCCUUAGCUUGUGCAAAAGUUUUGUUUUUAAUUUGAAUAAACCCUAUCUCUAGUCAGUAGGCUUUUAAAUAAAUGUGGGUAUUUUAUGUUAGAAAGUGCCUGCUGGUCUAGGGGAUAAGUGACGUGUGGUGGUUACCUGUGGUCUAAGGUUCGAGUGCUGGUAGGUGCAUUGAGGUGUUUUAUUUUGCUGCUAGUGUCGUGGGAGUGUUGUGGUUUGACCGAAACACUGAAGUGUUUGAGUGGAAUUUGAACUAGGAGGUUAAGGGAGGAUUGGAAGGUUUUGAGGGAUUUGGGGAGGAAAAUAAGAGAUUUUGAAGGAGUGGGAGUGUUGGUGCCGAAUUUGAACUCCCAACACUCAAGAUUUCAACUUUGGUUAGUUUCUCUCCUCAUUUUCGGUUUCUAACAAUUUCUUUUAAUUUCUUUCACUUUCUGAGAGGCUGAAUACUGCUAUAGACCUUUCAGGUAACUUCUUUUUUUUUGUUAUUCCGAGUUGCACUUUCCUCGAGUUCACUUGCUAAUCGUUGGCUCUCCUCUAGCAGUCACCCUCUCGGUUUUCUUUGCUUUGGCCGAAUAUUUAUUUUUCCCCUCUCAAUCGGUUUCCCUUUGAUCGAUUGCUUCUAGUUCUUUUUCCCUUUCUCAAUCGAUUUCUUGUUCUUUUCCCCUCCUUUUAUUUUAGUUUGUUGUGGCCGAAUCUCUUUGUAGCCGAACCUUGCUUUUUCUCCAUCCAUCUCUUCCUCUCCUUCUUAAUUGUUAUGUUCUUCUCAAUUUUUUCUCCAUCCAUCUUUGGUUUUGCGGUUUCGGUAAGUUGGUAUGCAUUGGAUUCAAGCUAUUUGUUUGAGCAUUAUUGUUAAUAGAAUUUGAUUGUAAUGUAGUUAAUCGUCAAGGGAGUGUGUAGUCAACCUUUUUCAGCGGUUUAGGCGGGCUGGGCCACAUUCGUUCUAUUAAGGCAAGUGACAAUCUACCUUAUGGAUAAGUAAUAUAAGAGGGGUGGUUUUAACCCUAUCGUGAAGGGACUAAUGGUGUGUUAUAUUUGAAUAUAGGUUGGAGUGUUCAAGAGUGGUGUGCGCAUUUUUGCAAACAAGGUGUGUAACCACAAUCCCAACUUUGAAAAUCGGUAAAAGCCGAAAAAAAGUGAAUGACGAUGCUACACAGGCGUGUGAGCGCUCCUGUGGUAGUUCGUGUGAUUAAACAUGGGCAAAUGAUCGUCGAGGCCAACCAUGUGCGAAUUCAUGGGUCCCGAAUUGGGGCUGUGUGGGCCCAUAGGCAUAUGGGCCACACACGGGUAAACCACAGAGACGUGUGAAAAUUAUUGGGCUAGGCUGUGUAAUGCAUACGGCCAAGGCCAUUAUGGGCCGUGUGAGCCGCACGGACAUGUGGGCCCAAUGGGCCCGUAAUAUGAGUCGUAGGCCUAUUUUUACAAUUUGACUGUUAACAUUGCUCGGGUCGCCCAAGACGAUUGUGGACCUGCUGUAGGGUCGGUAAGUGUACAUAGGCCCCUUAAUUGAUAAAAUGACUAUUAUGCCCUGUGUGAUAAAAUGACUGUUAUGCCCGUAUGAGAUGUAUGAUUAUAUUUAAGCAUGCCAUUUUAAACAUAUUGAAUACAUGUAUGAUAUUAUGACAUGAUGCAUGAUAUGUUGCAUGGGGAUGGGUUUAUUAUGAUUGGAGGAUGUGUACUGUACUGGCAGCUCUGCUGCAAAUACUGUUUAGUGUCGCAACCAGUACUACUUAGAGUGUAAGGAUGGGUGGGUUGAUUAUAUCCUCACAUAGAGUGCAGGGUUGGACGGAGAUGGAGUGUAGAGGCUGGAUGGGUGGGAUCUCUUGAUUGCAUAUUUGUACUGUUACUGUCAUUGAGAUGGACAAACUGAUAUUGAUACUGUAGUGGGCUAAGUCAUUAACUAAGACUGAACCAUUACUGAAAUAGGCUCAGGCCCAGACUGUAUAUGCUCACUGUUUGGUUAUUUGAUAUGAGAUUACACAUUGAGUUUUCAUAACUCACCCAUCUAUUUAUCUGUACAGGUAAUCUCUAGUCUUAGGUGGAUCGGUGCUACGAAGGACUCAAAAGUGGCCAUACAAAACUCAAAAGUGGCCAUACAACUACACAUACUUUCUUAUUUGAUUUUUAAAUUAUAAGUAAUUUUAUUUUGGGUAGUUUUAUUGUAAUAAGGCCUCUUUGAAUUUUAUUUCUAACUUGGGUUUUUAAUUGCUUUGAUUUAUAACUGCUAGCAGAAGGAUAAGACGUGGGUUUUCAAAAAGAUAAAUGUUUUUCAAAAAUACAACAAAUACGUAAUCGAUUUUAAGAGCUUCCACAAGAAAUAUCGUUUUAAAUAAGAAAAAAUUAAAUAAAGAUGUUUUAAUAUGGUUAACUUUCGGCAAACAACUCAUAUUUGGAAAAUAAACGACAUGUCUUGAAAUCAUCUUUAAGAUCACUCAAAGAUGUAGUAGAGAAUGGGUUUUUAACAAUAUCUCUUUACAAAAAACACUUCAAUGUGACAUCGCCAGAUUCAACCAUAACAUCCAGACCAGAUUUGGGGUGUUACACUUUCAAAAAUUCGACCCAAUUCAAUGUCUUUACGUUUCGAAUGCUUUCAAACUGUUGCGAAUUACUUUCACUUUCUCUUCUGUCUCUUUAACUAAAUCAACCCCGUGAAUCUUUUUCUCACUAAGCUCGGUCUAGUACAACGGCGUUCGGCAUUUGCGACCAUACAAUGCUUCAUAUGGUGCCAUCUUUAUGCUCGAUUGAAAACUGUUGUUAUACGUGAAUUCAACCAACGGUAAAUAUUUUUUCCAGUUGCUUUCAAACUCUAGAACACAACAACGAAGCAUAUCUUCGACAAUCUGAAUUACUCUAUCAGACUAACUGUCAGUUUGCGGAUGAAAAGUAGUAUUAAAUUGCAAUCGCGUACCCAAACCUUCUUGCAAUUUCUUCCAAAAGUCGCAAAGUAAACCUUGGAUCUCUAUCCAAAAUAAUAGAAACUAGCACCCCGUACAAUCUGACAAUUUUAAAGAUUUAUAAUUCAACUAAGCUAUCAAGCGAAAAGUCUAUACGUACCGGAAUGAAAUGUGCCCAUUUUGUCAAACGAUCAACAACUCAGAUAACAUUUUUAUUUUUUGGAGAUAGGGGUAAUCCCGAUACGAAAUCCAUGUAACUCUAUCCCAUUUCCACUUUAGUAUCAUCACAGGCUGUAAUAAUCCCGAAGGCACUUGAUGUUUGACUUUGACUUGUUGACAAACUAAGUAUCUCGACACAAACUCUGAAAUGUCUCGUUUCAUGCCCAACCACCAAUACAACUGUUUCAAAUCAUUGUACAUUUUAAUACUCCCCGGAUGAACAGAUAAACAACCACUGUGUGCUUCUUAUAGAAUUUUUUGUAUAAGCUCAGGAUUCUUUGGUAAACAAAUUCUACCUCGAAACAUUAAACAAUCAUCGAAUUCGAUCUGACAUUCUGAAUCAGUAGUCGACUUGCAUUGCACUCUUUUGUCUUGCAAUUUAUUGUCACAUUUCUGAUAUUCACAAAUUUGCUAUAGGAAUAACGAUUUAGCUUUUAAUAAGCUAAAAUCGAACUAUCAUCAGACAAGGUUAACUGUGUGUUCGUCGCCCGCAAAGCAAACAAAGAUUUUCUACUCAGAGCAUCUACGACUACAUUUGCUUUUCCCGGAUGAUAAUCAAUCACUAAUUCAUAGUCUUUCAACAACUCGAGCCAUCUUUGUUUUCGCAAAUUCAAAUAUUUUUGAGUCAUUCUAUACUUCAAACUCUUGUUAUAGGUAAAGAUGUGACACUUUUCACCAAAUAAAUGAUGUCGCCAAAUUUUUAAUGCAAAUACAAUAGCAGCCAACUCUAAGUCGUGCGUCAAAUAAUUCUUUUCAUGCGGUUUCAACUGUCUAAAAGCAUAAGCUAUCCACUUUUCCCUCUUGCAUCAAAACACAUCACAAACUAUUUAAUAACGAGUCGCUGAAAGUCACAAACUCUUUACCCAACUCAGGCUGAACUAAAACUGGUGCUUCCCUUAACAAUGCUUUCAACUGUUCAAAACUCUGUUGGCAUUUCUUGAACCAUUCGAACUUCACAUCUUUUUAUAAUAAACAAGUCAUCGGUAUAGCAAUUAUUGAGAAUCCUUUUACAAAACGCCAAUAGUAACCAGCUAAUCUCAGAAAACCUCUAACUUUGGAUAUAUUUCUUGGUGGUUUACAGUCAACAAUUGCUAAAAAUCUUACCCGGAUCAACUCGGAUACCUUCCGCUAAAAUAAUAUAUCCCAAAAAUCCAACUUCUCAGAGCCAAAACUCACAUUGGCUAAAUUUAGCAAACAAUUUCUUAUCUCUCAAAGUCUGUAAUACAAAUCUCAAAUGUUCAGCAUGCUCAGACUCAUCUCGGGAAUAAAUCAGAAUGUCACCAAUGAAUACAACAACAAGUCUAUCUAAAUACGGUCUAAAGAUUCGAUUCAUCAAAUCCAUAAAAACUGCAGAAGCAUUAGUUAAUCCAAAUGGCAUAACAAAAAAUUCAUAAUGCCCGUACCUAGUUUUGAACACAGUCUUCGACAUAUUCGAAUAUUUAACUCUCAACUGAUAAUAGCCAGAUCUCAGAUCACUCUUCGAAAAUAUUGUUACUCCUUCAACUAAUCGAACAAAUUAUCAAUUCUCGGCGAAGGAUACUUAUUCUUAAUCGUAACCUUGUUAAGUUGACAAUAAUCAAUAUACAGUCUCAUCGAUCCAUCUUUCUUCUUUACGAACAACACUGGUGUAUCCCAGGGCAAAAAAUUAGGUCGUACAAAACCUCUAUCUAUUAACUCUUGCAAUUGAGAUUUCAACUCUUUAAAUUCUAUCGAAGCAAUUCUAUAUGGAGCUAUCAAUAUUGGUGAUGUUCCUGAUACUAAUUCAAUAGAAAACUCGACUUCUCUGAUCGAUGGCAACCCAGGCAAUUCUUCUGGAAACACAUCUGGAUACUCACAAACCACUGCUACUAAUUUAAUAUUCGAUUCAGAUACUUUUGUAUCCAGUAUAUACGCAAGAUAAGCAUUGCAACCUUUUCUCACAUAUUUGUAAGCUAACAUCGACGACAUCACAACAAGCAACUCACUCGACUCAUUAGAUUCAAUUUGAAGGAUUUCACUAUUCUGACAUUUCAAUUCAAUAGUCUUUCAUCUACAACUCACAACAACAUCAUACAGAGUUAACCAAUCCAUGCCCAGAAUCACAUCGAAUUCAUCAAAUAGUAAAAGCAUCAAAUUUUUUAGAAAACAGUAACCCAGAAUCAUCAAAGGACAAUUCUUGCAAACUUUAUCAACUAGGACAUACUUGCCUAAGUUUUGAUACUGUAAUCACAAAGUCAGUAGACUCAACAGACAAACUCUUACUAGACACUAAAUUCAUACAGAUAUAUAAAUGAAUAGAUUCAGGAUCAAUCAAAGCAAUUACAUCAGUGUCGUAAAGAGAAAAUGUACUGAUGAUAACAUCUGGUGAUGACGCAUCUUCGCAAGUACGAAUAGUGUAAGCUUUGGCUGGUGCUCUAACCUCUGAUUUCACAGUAGAGUCCUUUGUCACUCUUUUGCUACUAGUCACAUUUCCUGUAUUUCUAAGUGAUCUCCCUCUAGUAGCUGUGUUACUCGAUCUUGCAUUCUGAAAUUUUUCUUUCUUGACUAACUCAAGAAUAUCUCAAAUAAAGUGAUCUAGCGAGCUACAUUUGAAACAACUUUUGUUAUUCAUCCAACAGUCUCCAAAAUGCUGUCUACUACACUAUUGACACUCGAGUUUGUUGGUUCUAACACUACCAACGCUCGAUACUGAAGUGGCUUGAAUUUUAGGACUGGUGUAUUAUUUCCCACGAUUUCUAUUAAAAUACCCAAUAGAAGCAUUCAAACGAUUAAACAAAUCUCGUGAUUUAUUCGACGAAGAGUGAUAGGGUUUACUCAUUGGACUUUUUCUCGAAUCUCUAGCCUCAAUAUUGACUUUUCUCUUUUCUUUGCACAGUUCCUCCGGUUUGCAUUUUCUGCUGACUAACACAACAAAUUCUUUCAACUCUAAAAUCCCAACUAGAAGUCUAAUGUCUUCGUUCAACCCAUCUUCUAAUCAUUUACACAUAAUUGUCUCUGUGGAAACACAUUCUCGAGCAUAUUUACUGUGUCUCACAAACUUUUUCUCAUAAUUAGUCACAGACAUUCGACCCUGUUUCAGUUCUAAAAAUUCCUUGCGCUUCUGGUCGAUAAACCGCUGGCUUAUAUAUUUCUUUCUGAACUCAGCUUGAAAGAAUUCUCAUGUGACCCUUUCUCUCGGUACCAUGGAUAUCAAAGUAUUCCACCACUGAUAUGCAGUGUCUCUCAGGAGUGAUACGACACAUUUACAUAUUCAGCUGGCAUGCAAGAUAAUUCAUCAAAUACUUUGAUUGUAUUCUCAAGCCAAAACUCGGCUCUUUCAGGAUCGUCAUCAACAGUAGGUCUUAAACUCUUCAGCCUCAUAGUUUCGAAUUUUUUCAAUAGGCCACUUACUCAACCGUAAAGGUUUCAAACCUUGAGGAGCUACUGGGACUGGUUGGCCUCUCCUCCCUGACUACUUGAUACAGACCUCGACUAAGAUUGCACUACUCCGUGAAUGGAGGCUGACGCAUUACUCUCAACGUCAUUAGCCACAGCUCGAUUGAGAUCCAUUACUAUAUGUAAAUACGAUUUUAAACUGUCAAGAGAUAUCGCACUAUCACAGGGUAUAUAUGGCAUGUAUAGCUAGACUCUUAAAUACGCUACGUUAGUCCUAGAAUCAAAUAAAUCGUAACUCUAAUACCAAUAAAUGUAACACUUCUCACCCAAAUCAAUCGCCAGAAUAGGGUUACAAAGCAUUACCGGACUUAUUACACAUUUAAACAUACAUUUCACAUACAUUUUUCCAUUUUUAAAAAUAAACCAUUCACAAUCAUACAUAACGUCCCUAAUACGAGCCUACAAGGCCUAAAACAUACUUUAGAAGUGGUUUAGGACUUAAUCGAUAUCACAGAAAAUUUUUGGAAUACUUAGAAAAUUUUACAGAAUAUAGGAGACGUGGCUGUGUGGCCUGGCCGUGUGUCUCACACGGCCAAAGACACGCCUGUGUCACAAGCCGUGUGGAAAUUCGAAAUGGGAUCAUAUGGUCGUGUCUCAGCCUGUGUCCAAUGUAACAGCGCAUUCUCAGUGAAAUUGGAAUAGUAGUUUUGAGACCACAAAUCCGAGCCGAAAAGAAAAUUUAUUUUUAUAUUAUUGCAUAUUUUGCAUUAUGAUAGGAAAGUGAUAUGAAAAUUCUGAUAAGAAAAUUUUACUGAUUAUUUACUUAAUUACGGAAAUGACCAAAUUGCAUAAAAGGUAAAAGUUAGAUUUUAGUAGCUAGAAGGAUCAAAUAGUUAUGAAAUUCAACACUUGAGGUCCUUAUAUGGUAAUUAGACCAUUAAAGAAAAGUUACUAGAUUUUUUGAUGAUUCAUCCAUAGAAAAAUAAGAAAAGGGCAAGAACUAAAUUGGAAAUAGAAAUAAUUAAAUGAUGCUAAAUGUAACACUCCUCACCUGUAUUCGAUGCCAAAACAAGGUUAUAAGGCAUUAUCGGACUUACAUCGCAAACAAUCAUACAGUUUCGUGUCAUAAAUUUCAACCAAAUUAAAACCAUUUGAAAUCAGUCAUAAAGUCUCUAAUACGAGGCUACGAGGCUCAAAACAUGCGUUGGAAGUGGUGUAGGAUUAAACCGAGAGCUUAGGAAAUUUUUACAAAACUUCAAAGAUUUUGGCAAUGUACAGGGGUCACACGCUCGUGUGGUUCGAGACAUGCCCGUGUGGGCAAGGUGUGUGGUCACACACGCUUGUGUCCUUAACCCGUGUAACUCUUUGACUUGCAAGGCAUGAACAAAUUGAAGUCACACGGCCAAGCCACACGCCCAUGUGCUAAGCCGUGUGGUUAAUUUAAUUUUCAUAAAUAGGUGUAGACUUCAUACGCCCAGAACGCACGCUCGUGUUUAAGACCGUGUCCCUCACACGGCUGUGAUACACGCUUGUGUCUCUGCCCGUGUGCUCAAUUCUGAGCAUUAUGUUUCUUAAAUUUUAGGUGCAUACGACCCAGACACAUGCCCAUGGAACAACCCGUGUGUUGCACAUGGCCUAAACACAAGCCCGUGUGUCUACCCAUGUGGACAAAAUAAAGGCUAUUUACCAAGCCAUUUGUCACCCUUAUUUGCACACACAUUCAUCCCAAUUAUAUGAGUUGGACUGCAAAAUUAUUUUAAGGUUGUUACUUAAAUAAUAUAAAAAUAGUAAUUAAUUACAAAAAGUAUAAAAAAUAUAUUAAUUACGAAAAUAGACAUUUGUUACAGUGUUUUAACUGUGCCGCAUGACAUAUUGGCGACACCAGACUAAAAUGUGAUGACUUAAAACAUUUUGGAACUUGUUAUGUAAAUAUCUCGUUUUAAUUGGCAAUCGAAAAAAAGGCUUUAAAGUGCCACUAACACAUUGCACCAAAUUUUAAAUAGGGCAAAUUAUUUCAUAAAACCCUCUUAUUCAUUAUUUUCUUUUAUCCCCUUUAACACUAAAAUACAAAUUGCUCCAAUGUUUAUUAUUUGCUUAUUACCUAAAUAAGGUUAUGAAGCAAAUAAUACACAAAACUACCUUGAAUAAAAUAAAAUACAAACUACCCUUUCUCUACUUUCUUUAAACAUUUCUAGCAAAUGCUUGCAAAAAUGGCUGCAAAAAGUGCACUGUCAAACAAAACAUUUCUAACAGUUAUAAAUGCUUGCAAAAAUGGUUGUCCUAUCAAAUUUCGGUGAGUGGUGAAAGUAGAGGAAGGGCAGUUUGUAUUUACGACGAUGGAGCAGGAAGAUUACAUGACUUGCUUUUCGGCACUGGAGCAUUGGCCUCUGAUUAUCUUAUUUGGGUAAUUAGCAAAUAAUAAACAUCGGAGCAGCUUGUAUUUUGGUGUUAAAGGGGAAUAAAAGGAAAUAAUAAAUAAAGGAGUUUAUGAGGCAAUUUACCCUACUUAAAGGUUUUGUGCCGGCAUGCGAAUGCGACACUCGUAAAGCAUUUUUUCCAACUUUCAACCAAAAUGGGAUAUUUACCUAUUAGGUCCCUGAAUAUUUCAAGUCAUCAAAUUUCAGUAUUAGCAGCACCAUUAGAAUACUAUAGCAAAUGCAUAUUUUCGUAAUUAAUUUAUUUUUCGUGAUUAAUUAUUAUUAUUUUGUUAUUUAGGUAAAAAAGCCUUUAUUUUAUUAUUUAAAAAUAUUUUUUUCAUAAUUAAAUUUAAAUAAAAAUAUAUCUAUUAAAUACAACAUUAUCAAUAUCAAACUUGAGAAAUAAGAUAAUUGUUUGAUGUAUUAGUAAGGCUUAAGAAAUCAUAUUUAUAAUACUUCUAGUCGUAAAAAACCUAGGUUAAGAGUACGUUCUCAAUGUCUCUUAGAGAAACAACUUUUGUUAUGGCUGGGUUCAAGAAGGGUGGUGACUUUUGGUGUAGAUGGAGAGGGAGGAGAGGGACAAGAUCUCUUUUCUGGAAGAAGAAUUGGUUCAGUUAUUAGUGAAAAGUUCGUCGAUUGUUCAUAUAGGGAAGCCAACGAUGUUAUGUUUUGUGUGGACAAGAAAAUCGUAUAAUCUUGAUAGUUUUCGAGCCCAACUGAAAAGAAUCUGGAAGACAUGAAAAAAGUUUGAAAUACAAGUUGUAGGGUAGAAUUUAUUCAUGAUUCUGUUUGAGGAAGAGGAGGACCUAGAGACGAUUUUGGAGGGUCAACCAUGGUUCUUUCGGAGAAAUCUAAUUAUUUUUUAUCAACUGUUGGAAUUCAUGGAGAGAAGAAAGAUAAAGUGGAUUAUGUCUCCCUUUUGGAUCAAAGUUGGCCCUUGCCUGCCAGAAUGCGACAGUAAGGACCUUAUGAAUGUAGUUGGGUCCACUUUUGGUGGAGUUUUGUAUCGGAGUCAAAAAGGAAUUUUUGUUGAAUUCGAGUCAAUAUUAAUUUACAAAAACCUUUAAGGCGUGGAAUUUUAUCCAGGUUGGUUCGAAGGAAAAGCAAUGGAUCCCUUUUAAGUAUGAAAAUUUGCCCAGUUUUUACUUUGGCUAUGGCUGAACCUAGAAGAAUGCACGGAGGUUUCAAAUGUUAUUAACCACUAACUAGAGGAUGACUUACGCUACUUUGUAGUGCUUAAAGUAGAAUCUAAAUUGGUGGGAAAGGUGAGUCAAAAGCUGGGUGCCAUCUUAAAGAAAUCCAUGAAACAAUUUGCCUAUGUGGGAGAAGACGAUGAUUCCACACAUUCGAAAUACUAGAGUGUUGGGAUUGGGACACUGCUUAUGGCGGUUAUGGAUGACACGACUUCGAAAGAGGGCAUUAGAUUCGGAAAUGAGGUAUUGGAUUCCGAAAUUACCACUGGGAGGAAGGGUGUUGUGGGUGAUGUGCUUGAUUAAGAGUUUGUUACGAGAAACGCAAAAGGGGGAAGUGUGUUAGAAUAGAAGUUGGCGUGUUAGAAUAGAUGUUGGCGUGUUGGACUCAAACAGGUUGUUUGAAGAGCAUUUUAAAUGAAUAAAAGUCAGAUGUGGAAUUAAAAAAUAGGGCCUAUGAAAUUCGAGAAGAUGAUAGAGGCAAGUAUUGGACUUCGAUUGAUUCUCCUUUAGGGAAAGAUUCGGGCUGGGAACUUAUGGAUCACAAUAGUCCCCAUUUGGGAGCUGGGCCCAUUAAUGACUCAAAUGGGCCCCAAAAGUGUAAGAUGUGAAACUUGGAAGAAAGACUACAGCCCACCAAACGCUAGAAUAGGCUAGCUAGAACCGCUAAUUUAGAACUAGGUAGUAGGGUUGUGACACAUGGGAAACGUAAAGGGGAAUGAGAGUUCUUUAGUGAAGUGGGUUUUCUUUCUACGACACUACUAGUAAAAAAGCAAAAUGUGCUAGAGAAGAAGUUAACAACUUUAUGAUGGACAGUUUGACAAAAAUGCCUUGGAGCAAGUUUUAGCUCUAACUAAUGAAGGAUUGACAGCUACCAAUAAGCAAGCCGACCAGGCACAGUGAAACUCUUAUGUUGGAAUGUUCAUGGUUUGGGAAGACCACAGACAGUGUGCCACAUUCGACAUUCACUGAGGCUUUAUAAGCCAAAAAUGUUCUUUAUGGAGACAAAAUUAUAUUCUUGUAUAAUGGAAAUAGUUAGGAAACGAUAUGGCUUUUUGCAUAGAUUUGAGAUUGGGGCUAAUGGUAGUAAAGGUAGCCUCUGUCUGACAUGGAAAGAUGAUCUACAAGUAUGUUUAAAGAAGCUCUCUAAUAAUUUUAUUGACGUGACGAUUAAAAGGAGCGAGGAAGAUAACGAGUGGCACUUCAUAGGCUUUUAUGGUUCUUCUUUGGCAAAAAGCAGACAAGAAUCAUGGAACGUUUUCAGAUAUUUAGGAGCUAAUUGUAAUCUCCCAUGGCUCGUGUGCGGGGACUUUAACAAGAUUCUCUAUGCUUCUAAAAAAAAUGAGGCUACCAAGGGAAGAAAGGAGAAUGAAAGAUUUCUGAGAUGCCUUAAUGGACUAUGGCUUGUUUGACAUAGGUUUUUCGGGCCCUUCGUUUACAUAGGAGAGAAGGAAUUUAUUAGAAACAAACAUCAGAAAACGGUUGGAUAGGGGGUCACAAACAAAAAGUGGUUUACUCAAUUCCUUAGUGCUUUUAUUGUCAUUUGCCCUACUCUUUCUCAAAUCAUUGCCCACUAUUGAUCUAAACAUACCGUGGAGGAGGAGAUAAAAAACAACGCAAGUUUCAAUUUGAAGCUUGGUAGAUUGUAGAAGACUCCUUUGAAGCUGAAGUUAAGAAAAUAUAAGAUUCGAAUAGGGGGACCUUCUUUCCAAACUAGAAAGUACUAGAGUUAGUUUACUUAAGUGGGUUCGGCAAAGAAAGGAGAAAAGGAAUGGUUUGAAGGAGACUUUGAUAAAAUAUAGACGAUACAAAUCUUCAAGCAUUUAUUGAUACAAAACUCCUUUUUUAAUUAGGAUAUUGAUAAUGAAGAACGUUUUUGGAAACAAAGAGCAAGAGUAAACUGGCUAAAAGGCUAGUGACAAAAAUACCAAAUUUUUCCACAAAUGCGCAAAUGAAGAAUUCAAAUAGGAUCUCGUUUUUAGACUAUGUGGGUGGUAGAAUUACCUUAGAUCAUAAUGAAAUGGAAAACAUUGAGACGAGCUAUUUUGUUGAGCUUUUUGUGACGAAUGGGAGGUAAUGGGAUGAGCCAUACUCUGUCCGGAGUUGAUAGGUGCAUCAUUAAAUAGGCCAAUACUGAGCUAACUACUUCCUACAUAGAGGAGGAAGUCUUUGGGGCAUUAAAAGGUAUGGCCCCUAUGAAGGCACCAGGUAUAGAUGGUUUCUCAGCAAUUUCUCUCAAAAAUAUUAGUACAUUAUGGGCAAGGAGGUUUGUCGUUUUGGUUUGGGAGUAUUAAAUAAUAGCAUGAAUAUGGGGUUUAUAAAUGUCACUAAUAUAGUUCUUAUCCCUAAAAUUCACAAUCCUACAAAAAUGUGAAAUUUUAGACCAAUUAGGCUUUACACUGUUAUCUAUAAAAUCAUAGCCAAAAUGGUUGCAAACAGAUUUCAAAAAGUAUUAUAAGUCUAUAUUGACAAGUCCUAAACUACUUUUGCUCCUGAUCGAUUAAUAUCUGAUAGUGUUUUAUUGGCAUAUGAAUUAUUGCAUACUUUUAGCCAGGAGUAAAAAGGUAGAAAGGGUUUACUUGCGCUCAAACUAGACAUGAGUAAAGCCUACGACAAGAUAGAGUGAAAUUUUCUACGAGUAAUGAUGGAAAAAAUAGGUUUUUCUCAAGCUUGGGUUGACAUUGUGAUGAAGUCUAUUUCCACUGUCUCUUAUUCGAUAAGCUUAAAUGAAAGAAUUAGGACACAUUUCUAGCCUUUGUGAGGACUUCGACAAGGGGAACCUUUUAGCCCUUUUUUCUUUCUCAUUUGUAGUAAGGGUCUCCCUUCUUUAACGAGGUUGGCUGUUCAUGAAAGUCUUCUAAAGAGGGUAAAAGCUAGUUGAAAAGGUCCAUUAACAUCUCACUUAUUCUUUGUCGAUGAUUGUAUUCUACUUGAGGAGACUACUGUGGGAGGCGAUAAAAUUUUGAAGUAAAUUUUAAAAGAAUAUAAGACCCAUUCGGGUCAAUGUCUGAAUUUUGACAAAUCCACAAUCUUUUUUAGAUCAAAUACAAUUGAUUCGGUGAGAACACAAAUCUCCAUCGAAUUGGGUGUAAGGUGUUCUACUAACCUCAAGAAAUACCUGGGUCUCCCAAAUAUAGUGAGUAGAAGGAAGAAUGUCUCUUUUUAAUAUUUAAAAGAUCGUAUGAAACAAAAGGUUGAUAAUUGGAGUUCUCGUUUCUUGUCUCAAGGCGGCAAGGAAGUGUUUAUUAAAGCAGUGUUACAAGCAAUACCUACUUAUGCUAUAGGUUAUUUUCUUUUGCCAAAAUCCUUGUGUAAAGAGAUGGAAAGCAUUGUGCCUCAAUUUUGGUGGCAAAAGACUCAUGUGAAACAAGGCUUACAUUGGUGUGGAUUGGGUUCUAUGUGUGAAUUAAAAGAAAAUGAUGGCAUUGGCUGUAGGAGUUUUGCGAAAUUUAAUAUUACCCUUCUUGCAAAACAAGGGUGGCAUCUUAUGACUAAUCCAAAUUCUCUGUUGGCGCAGGUUUUGAAAGCGAAAUAUUAUCCACAUUCUAAUUUUCUGAAUUCAUGUCUUAAAGUGAAUGCUUCGUAUGCGUGAAAAAAGCAUCUAGGCAAUAAAAAAGGUACUUUAGGAUGGUUCUGGUUGGAGGGUGGGUACGAGUGAAGCGAUCCCUAUUUUUAAUGCUGCAUGGAUACUAUGCUCUUUUAAUUUUCAAUUAUGUGGUACAGUUAGUAAUUGUAAUCUUGAAUUUGUUUCUGAGCUUAUUGAUGAUAAUAGAGAAUGGAAAAAGGAUACUAUUAUUUCCAUCUUUGAUGAGGAUGAUGCAUCAAGAAUCCUUCAGAUCCCGCUGGCACUUGAACCACAAGAUGAUACCCUGGUUUGGUGGAAGGAAGCAUAUGGUGAGUUCUACGUUCGCUGUGCUUACAAAUUGUUAGAAAUCAAUAGUGCUUCUCAGUUUAAGGGAAUAACAAGCUACAUAUAAAAGUUUCUAUUGUAAACUAUAGAACUUAAAUUUGCCUUCCAAUCUAAAAAUUACUGUCUGGCGUAUUUCCAAAAAUUAUAUCCUUACCAUGUCAAACUUACUCUUGAAGAAGCUGGUUCGAGACACUCUGUGUCCCAUUUGUGGGGGAGGAGCAAAAACAAUAGUCAUGCCUUCUGCUUUUGUCUUGUUGCAAAUAAAGUUUGGGAAAUCUUAGGCCUCAUUGAUUUAUUAAACCUACCUAGUUAGGGGUGGUUGGAUUGCCUUACUGCAGUUUUUAAUGUCUGUUGGCACAUUCAACGAAGGAUUGUUUGCUGCUCACUUUGGGCCAUCUGGUUUGAAAGAAAUAGGAGAGUUCAUGACAAAGUGGUUAAAUCAGGAAAGGAAAUUACUAAUUUUAUCUCCAGGUAUCUCUAUGAAUUGGACUGUUUAGAAGAGAAGAAAAUUACCGUCCAGGGUGAUAAAGUAAGCUGGAAUCCUCCUCCUACCGAUUUUAUCAAAGUAAACUUUGAUACGGCUUUUGUCAUGGAACGAUGUAGAUUAGGUACAGGGCUGGUUGCUCGAAAUAGAAAAGGUGUGGUAAUAGUGUCUAAAACUUGCACGACAAUGUGGGACCGGCUUUCACCGGGGAAGCCCUUGCAUGCCUUGAGGCGCUUAAAAUGGGGUUAGUUCUCAGAUUAACAAAAGUAAUCAUCGAAGGAGACCCCUUGUCUGUUAUUACGAAAUGUAACUCAAGUCAUACUGACAAAUCAAAAGUUAGCUCGCACCUUCGUAAUAUCGAAGGCACUCUCGCCCGAUUUCAAAGCAUCAUAUUUAUGCAUGUUAAAAGAUCUGGAAAUGCUUUAGCAGACGCUCUAGGCACUGAAUGUGUAAGGAAGGGAAAAGGCUUUUACCUGAUCGGAUCUGUCCCAGACUCCGCUGCAACAACUUUUUCCAAUGAUUGGCUCCGCGAGCCUGACUGACGAAUGAAGGACUCUUGGUUUUUCCGGUUUCUUGGGUUACCGAAGCAUCAGAUCUAGACAGGGAUGCUUCGACUGAAUGAUUGUCUUAAUGCAGGGAGAUAAGUUUGGCAGACUUUUUUUGGGAGAAAUGGAACCGUCGGUGCCUCUUAGAAAGAUGAUAAGAGUGGGACGGGCAAUCUCUUUCCCUAAAGGAGUAGGCACGUUUUUCUUUAAUUUUCUUUAUAGUUUGUUUACUUUUUCAGUAGCUUCUUUAUUAUCUUUCUUUUUCAAUACUUUUUCUUCCUUUUAGGAUCAGAUAACUUUUCUUUCUUUGAGCCUCUUUGUGCCUUUGCUCUUUUUAAUUUUGGUUUUCAUGUAAAUUUUAGUUUUAAAUUAAUAAAGCCCAACCCUAUUUUAUCCAAAGAAAAGAAAAUAAAUCAUAUUUAUUUAUUUUAUUUUUUAAAGAGG
rnacentral:lncRNA from 1 species